rnacentral:rRNA from 1 species
AGAGUUUGAUCCUGGCUCAGGACGAACGCUGGCGGCGUGCCUAAUACAUGCAAGUCGAGCGAGCUUGCCUAGAUGAUUUUAGUGCUUGCACUAAAUGAAACUAGAUACAAGCGAGCGGCGGACGGGUGAGUAACACGUGGGUAACCUGCCCAAGAGACUGGGAUAACACCUGGAAACAGAUGCUAAUACCGGAUAACAACACUAGACGCAUGUCUAGAGUUUGAAAGAUGGUUCUGCUAUCACUCUUGGAUGGACCUGCGGUGCAUUAGCUAGUUGGUAAGGUAACGGCUUACCAAGGCAAUGAUGCAUAGCCGAGUUGAGAGACUGAUCGGCCACAUUGGGACUGAGACACGGCCCAAACUCCUACGGGAGGCAGCAGUAGGGAAUCUUCCACAAUGGACGAAAGUCUGAUGGAGCAACGCCGCGUGAGUGAAGAAGGGUUUCGGCUCGUAAAGCUCUGUUGGUAGUGAAGAAAGAUAGAGGUAGUAACUGGCCUUUAUUUGACGGUAAUUACUUAGAAAGUCACGGCUAACUACGUGCCAGCAGCCGCGGUAAUACGUAGGUGGCAAGCGUUGUCCGGAUUUAUUGGGCGUAAAGCGAGUGCAGGCGGUUCAAUAAGUCUGAUGUGAAAGCCUUCGGCUCAACCGGAGAAUUGCAUCAGAAACUGUUGAACUUGAGUGCAGAAGAGGAGAGUGGAACUCCAUGUGUAGCGGUGGAAUGCGUAGAUAUAUGGAAGAACACCAGUGGCGAAGGCGGCUCUCUGGUCUGCAACUGACGCUGAGGCUCGAAAGCAUGGGUAGC